UCUGCUUCAAAAGAAAAGCUUUGUAUCAAGGCAUUAACUGCCGAUGCCGGAGAAUCAAGAAAAGAUCAUAGAUUCAUAUAAUACAUAAAAUCUCUCCUACUUAAAACAUCUCUAAUCCAUCUAUCAUCAGCCUUUUCCUGCCCCGUCCUUUCCGCUCACUGGCUACGUCGUCUGCCGGAUCCUUCCGCCCUCGCCCAUCGUCCGGCAAAUCCUUCCCGCUUGCGUCCCGCGACCUCCACGCCUGCCCCGCUCGUGACCUCCGUGCUCCCACUGACCCCACCCGCAACCUCCCCUUCCCCGUGGCCUCCCUCUUUCCAACCCCCAACAAAUCCGUCGCUCGAGUCUCCACCCUCUCUCUCUCUGGCCGUCGACGCCACCGGAAGCCCCGACAUGGCCGUCUCACGGGCGCGUCAUUAUUUCUCUCCUCCUUCCUUGUCCCUGCCCAAACGUAAGGUUGCGUUCUUACAAAUCGCCCUAGCUUUGCCCCAGGAUUCGCCACCCAGCGCCCUCGCUGGAAUCGUGGGCGCUAAGGUCUCGAGGCGGGCAUCGCUUGUCUUGUGAAUCCCCCUCCGGUUUCUUGUUUUCUUGCAAGGAUUCGACUGAUUUAGAGGGAAUUGUCGGUCUCGAUACCGUUCUGCUCGCUCGGGACCGACGGUUCGGGGCAGUUCCGAAGGGAAAAUUAGGUCUUUCUUGCCAUUUGCUUGAGAUCAUCCACGUGCCCCAAUUGGGCCUUUGAACCUGUGCUCCUAAUCAUCCUGGAAUGCGCUUUGCGGCUGCCUUGUAAAAGAUUGAGAAAUUUAGAGGGCAUUUGAUUCGAGGUCUUCCCGUGUGCGCUCAAGAAAAGGUGUUGUGCCGUGAAGGCCACAUCUUGGGCAUCCAUGGGGUUCCUCAGUCUUGUGGGCAACUCCUUUGGAUGCUCUGCUUCCAGUGGACAGCCCAUGUUAGCUGAUCGCGACGGCGACCUUCUGGAGGCGUGUGCGCUCCUCGAGUACAACCUUCGCCUUGCCCGGUACUCCACAUUCGGUGGCCACAACUCACUGCUGCAUUAUGCUGCUACGCAGGGACAUCAUGGGAUUGUUUCUCUAUCGCUUGAAUCCGGCGUCAAGAUCAACCUUAGGAAUUACUGGGGCAGACUGUUUUGAUGCAAGCAUGCCAAUAUGGUCACUGGGAGGUUGUUCAAACACUGAUGCUUUUCAAUGUAAAUGUUCGCAGGACAGAUUAUCUCAAUGGUGGAACUGCUCUCCAUUUUGCUGCACUGCAUGGUCAUGCUCGAUGCCUUCGUCUUGUGCUCGCAGAUUAUGUGCCAAGCAUACCGAACUUCUGCACCUUGGCAAAUUAUAGAUCAUCUGAAGAAGAUUCGGUUGCUAAUUUUGAUCAUGAGUAUGUUGGGUAAUUUGUAUGAGUAUGUUGGGUAAUUUGUAUGUUUUCUCUUUAUUUUACUUUAGCACACGAAUCAUGCAAUAGUAUCUCAGUGUCAGUGCUUUGGUCAAGAUGGUAAAUAAGAAGGUGGAUGGAGGCUUAACUCCACUGCAUAUGUCAGCGUUAAAUGGGCAUGUAGAGUGCGUGCAGUUGUUACUGGACUUAGGAGCAUCUAUUUCUGAUGCCACUAUUGAGGAUGGAACGACUAUUGACUUAAUAGGUAUUUUGCUAUCUUUCAUUUUUUUAGUUGCUUCUUUUCAACUUGCUAAUCAUUGUCAUGUAUAUGCUUGGCUGUUUAUCAGUUUUACUUUUUUGGUACAUUCUUGUUGUGAGUGCUUAGCGUGUUUAGUGAGAACAUUGUAAGUAGUCAGCAAUUUAACAACAACGUAUAUGAUUCUUGGUCUUGAAA